GUUGGAGUGUCUGAGCUAGCUAGAUUAAAGCUAGCUUGGAUAUGAGUAUGCCAGCUGCAUUCAUACCCUCUGACUAUUGGGCAUAGCACAGCCCAAAGUAUCCUCUUACUUUCACCACCACAGUGUUAAAAGGCCUCACAGUCUUUAUUCUCCAACACUCCUGUGAGCUGUCAGCACUUAUGAAUCUGAAGUGAGCCAUGUGGACCUUCAAAGAACAUUGAAAUUGCAUUGUAAUAACCUGUAUCUCUGGAAUGAGCCAGGCAGGAGGUUGGUAGAACCGUGCUCUGUUAAAACUGAUAAAAAUAGAGGGAGCCAGGAUCAGGAACUUGAGAACCACGCCACCACGGUGUCAGGAACUCAUUGACUGGAACAGGCAAGCUUUCUCUGAUG